rnacentral:lncRNA from 1 species
CCUUGAAGUACUUAACAUUUUUCACUGCUUAAAUUUUCUGUAUCUAUAACCAUUCAAGAAUUAUAGGGAAAUCAAAGACAUAUGAAAAUCUAAAAUAUGACCUUGACCUUUGACCUUGACCUAAUUUUCUAAGUUAGGAAUCAGGGGACUCAAAUAAAAACAUUCCAGGGUUAUACGGUUAACGGUUUAUGAGUUAAAAAAACAUACCGACAAAUUUAUUCCGUAAAGAUAGAUAACUCCUAUAAAAUUUCAUCGAAUCGCUUCGAUCCAAAUUAGCCAAAAUUUCUGAGGAUGUAACGAACAAUUUGUAAAAAGAAUUUUGUCGCUAUCUUUUUUUGUUACGAAGGAGAUGCACACACAUGAUAAACAGUGAAUAGGGAGAUAACUCUUACAAAGAAAAUUGUUCGUCUUAGCAGGGUGAAAUUUAAAAGCGCAUAAACUAUACGAUACAAUAUGAGAAAUAUCUAAGCGACAUAUUGCGAAACAAACAUUUAUCGCAAGAACAAAAUUUGGCGGAAAAAAAAAAAUAAUAAUAAUAAUAAAUAUAAAGCAAUUGUUUUGAAAACAAUUGUUAGGCAGUCUUUCCCCUCUGAUGAAUGGAUAAUUGAUUUUUUUUUAUUGAUUGAUUUGGAAAAAAAAGGGGGGGGGGGUAUUUGUUUAUUGUUUGUUUGUUUGUUUUUUGUAAUGGGGUCUAUAUUAUUAUGUUACCGGAGAAGUUUCAUGUUUAGUUUGGAAAGUUUUUCUUUUAUUUUAGAUACAGCGCGCGCGCAAGAUUGAGGAGACAUCACGUGACGCGGGUUUAUAUUAAGAAAAACUUAGUCUUUUAAUUUCUUUUUAGGUCGGGACCUUGAACAGACAACAAGUCUAGAGAUGGAAUGUACACAAUGUAAUUUCUUUUGUCAUUGUAGGAAAUUGACAUUUUGAUCACAGUUCACCAGCAGUGCAUGUUUUGGAUUUAAUCGAUCCGGUGUAACUUUAAAAACACAUUUAAUGAUUAUUUUUUGAUAAUGUCCAUUUUUCAGCACCUGUUUGUAACACAGAUUAGUAUUUCAAUCUCGGAGCGGACAUUUUAUUGUAGGUUUUUACUGAGAUUUGACGGACCUAGCAAGCGAUUUUUACGGCAUUGCCAUUUCUUUUUUCUAGGAAAAGUCUUGAGAGAUAUCUGCAAAAAGUUUUUUUAUGAACCUUCAGUACAUGUAUGCCCUGCUGACUGCAAAUUUUCAGGUCGAUUGGACUUGUAGUUUCAGAGAAUAUGUGGAUUUUUUUUUCAGAAGAGACGUAAGAACAAUAAUAAAAUAAAAAUUUUCUUGAAUAAUUGAGAGUUUGUUCCUUCAAUAAACUGUCAUAAAUAAACAGUCAUACAUAUUGAUUGAUUGAUUAGUUGGUUGAUUGAUUGGUUGGUUGGUUGGUUGUUGGUUGGUUGGUUGAUUAAACACGUUUGAUAGGGUCACUUAGAACAAGGGGAAAAAGACCUCAAGAGACCUUGCAUCCCGUAUUAAACGCAUGACACGGAAACAUACAUUAAGUGAUUGAUUGGUUGGUUGGUUGGUUGGUUAAACACGUUGGUUAAACAUGUUGGUUUAACACGUUGGUUAAACACGUUGGCUGGUUAAACACGUUUGAUAGGCUCAAUUUAAACAAGCGAAAAAAAAAACCAUCUUGGAUCCCGUAUUUAACACAUGAAACGGAAACAUGCAUUGAUUUAUUUAUUGGUUGGUUGGUUGGUU